AGUUGAUCCUGGCUCAGAACGAACGUUGGCGGCGUGCUUAACACAUGCAAGUCGAACGAGAAAGUUCCUUCGGGAACGAGUAAAGUGGCGCACGGGUGAGUAACGCGUAGAUAACCUGUCCAGGUGUUUGGGAUAGCCCUUCGAAAGGGGGAUUAAUACCAAAUACGUUAAUUUGCUAUAAGGCGAAUUAAGAAAGGUGGCCUCUAUUUAUAAGCUAUCGCAUUUGGAGGGGUCUGCGUACCAUUAGCUAGUUGGUGGGGUAAUGGCCUACCAAGGCUUCGAUGGUUAGCGGGUCUGAGAGGAUGAUCCGUCACACUGGCACUGAAACACGGGCCAGACUCCUACGGGAGGCAGCAGUGAGGAAUAUUGCGCAAUGGGGGAAACCCUGACGCAGCGACGCCGCGUGAGUGAGGAAGGCCUUCGGGUCGUAAAGCUCUGUCAGAAGGGAAGAAAUGUACAUUAGCUAAUAUCUUUUGUACUUGACGGUACCUUCAAAGGAAGCACCGGCUAACUCCGUGCCAGCAGCCGCGGUAAUACUGAGGGUGCAAACGUUGUUCGGAAUCACUGGGCGUAAAGGGCGCGCAGGCGGUUUGAUUAGUCAGAUGUGAAAGCCCACGGCUUAACCGUGGAAGUGCAUUUGAAACUGUCAGACUUGAGUACCAGAGGGGGUAGUGGAAUUCCCGGUGUAGAGGUGAAAUUCGUAGAUAUCGGGAGGAAUACCGGUGGCGAAGGCGACUACCUGGCUGGAUACUGACGCUGAGGCGCGAAAGCGUGGGGAGCAAACAGGAUUAGAUACCCUGGUAGUCCACGCCGUAAACGAUGUCAACUAGAUGUAGGGGGUGUUGAUCCCCUCUGUGUCGCAGCUAACGCAUUAAGUUGACCGCCUGGGGAGUACGGUCGCAAGAUAAAACUCAAAGGAAUUGA
rnacentral:rRNA from 1 species